rnacentral:lncRNA from 1 species
AUGGAAAGAAGGCCCAAAUUACCCAGUGGGACUCCCUGCAGAAACAGAAAACCAACGUCUUUCGGCAGUCUGAUUGAAUGCUGUAAGGACUCACAUUCUGUAAUGGUCACCCCUCCUGAGGACACCUUUUCCAGCAUUCUUAACAUGGAGCUAUACUUCUUCCCGGAGUUUUAUUGUGUCCCUGGCCCACGCAUGCUGGACCGUGUUGCACAGGGUUUCCAUCGGAACUCAAAGCUGCAUGAGAUGCUGGGAGGAUAUUUAUUUGAAGUUGCACAGAUGUUUACAGUAAGAGAGCCUGAGACACGGGCAUCGGAGCACACAGCUAACCUUCUGCAGAGGGGCUGCCCGGCCUUAAUGGGUUCCAUGUGCUCCGGUNNNNNNNNNNNNNNNNNNNNNNNNNNNNNNNNNNNNNNNNNNNNNNNNNNNNNNNNNNNNNNNNNNNNNNNNNNNNNNNNNNNNNNNNNNNNNNNNNNNCUUCUGCAGAGGGGCUGCCCGGCCUUAAUGGGUUCCAUGUGCUCCGGUCUCUUUAACAGCAACAAACAGGCUGCCUCAUACGGCCGCUUACUUGGACAUUAAAUAAUGAGUCUCCCUAAGAUCCUUGUCCCACACCUCAAGACUUCAGUUCCAGGAGAAAGUGACUUAGAGCGAUACAUCAUGAGAAGCAAGCAUGACCCUCCAUCUGAAAUCUCACAGCAUCCGGUGUGCACACACACAUGCAUGUGCCCGCGCACACACGCAUUCGAACACACGUGUGCCAGACCUCAAUGUGUGCAGGGCUACUCCACAGAAGCUGUACAUAUAGAGCCUCAAAAGACUUGACAGUAGCUUUCCCUCAUGAAACUAAAUGCAUUUUAAUUUUUUUAAUUGAAAAAGCAACAGUGCACAUAAUACAAAAUCCAAGAGAAUCAAAGGGUAAAGAAUUAAGGAGAGUCCCCCCUCCUGGGGGCAGGCGCUGCUACCAGUGGUAUAUCCUUCCAGAUAUUUAAAAUCAUAUAUACACAUAUACACUCUGUUAUACUUUUCCAUUUGCAGUGAAACAUGCAUCUUGGACAUCUGUAAUUUGCUCUGAUGUACACCCAGAUUUUAAGAUACCUGGAAGAAUGGAUAGACAUACAUGAUAAAGCCAGUCAAGUAAAAAAAUGUAAAAGGUAGAAUCUAGGCUGUGGAUGGGUUUACAGGUAAAAUUCUUUAAAUUCUGCCGUAUGUAUGACAGUUUUCAAAAUAAAAUGCUGGCAAACUAUAUAUCUCAGUGCCCAUCUUAUAUCAUAUCCUGUUACUUAUAUUCUUACAUAUGAUAGUAUUUAUGUAGAACUACCUCCUGCUUUUUUAAGGGGGGCCCUGUGACUUCCAAGAAACACGUUUCUCUCUGGAAGGACUUUUCUGUGUCUAGUCCUUCCUUCAGCAAACAGUGCCACAGUGAACAUGCUGCAUACGUCUUUAUACAAUAAUAUCCUUCACUUACAUCUUGGUGGGAUACAGCAGAAAUGUUAGCUGAAAGGGUUUUGUUCAGUUGACAAAAUGGUAAAUAUCCAAAUUAUUCUUCCAAAAGAUUAUAUGCAUUUUCCUUCUCCCACAGCAACGUGGGAGUGAGCCCCUGACGUGGACUGGCUGUCAGAGCCUUGGUAAUACAGAACCACAGUCAGCAACCCCCUCCUCUUGCUUAUUUAGCGAGGCCUCAGCCCAUCUCCAUGCGUCUAAAAUAGGAUACAGACGUGAAAGUGUAUGAAUCCCCGUAGUCAUCUGGCCUUUUUUUGUCUUUUUACUUUAAAUCUCUGGAUGACAGAAAAUAGGUGUUAAAUUCCUGGGAUCAGAGUCCUUUCGAUUCAGCUAGACUGACAGCCACAUUUGAUGGAUGGGAAAACCGAAGCCCAGAGUUGGAAAGGGACCAGCCCAAGUUCACAUGGUCACUUCCUGGCUGAACCCCACUGACGAAGGCAGGGAGUGAUUUAAAACUUGGCUCUGUGUUUGGACUGCAGAAGCCUGCUCUGCUGGUAUCCCCGUUACCUGAGGAUGCUCGCAGAGCCUGGCGGCCAGGACAGGGAGGUGCUGUGACCGCGGAUUGUCUGUGUUUAGCUCCCACAGAGCACGGCGGAGGUGGCUGGCUGCAGCAUGCAGCUCGUUAGAUAAUGACCAGAGAACGCUGAAAAUGUCCUUUUGGGUUUUGGCUGAAUAAUAUUUAAGGAUUUUGAAACAGUGACUUAAUNNNNNNNNNNNNNNNNNNNNNNNNNNNNNNNNNNNNNNNNNNNNNNNNNNNNNNNNNNNNNNNNNNNNNNNNNNNNNNNNNNNNNNNNNNNNNNNNNNNUGGGUUUUGGCUGAAUAAUAUUUAAGGAUUUUGAAACAGUGACUUAAUUGUGUUUUUAUGUAAUUGAUGGCGUUGUCGUAAAAUGUAUUGAGACACCACAUCAGCAUUUUUCUCUAACUGUUCCUUGGAGAAAAAUAUGCUCAUAUGAAAAUAGUUUCUUCACUUUCCACUCAUGGAAUUGAAAAAAAAGAUAUUGUGCUUCCAUGAAAUCACUGAGCCCAGAGAUUGUCUCAUUUUAAAGUGUCUUCCCCUCCGGACUUGUCCUAAAUAAUGCAAGGCUCUCUCCUCACCCUUCGGGUUGGGUUGGCCCUUGUUUUGGAAGCGAUGCACGGAGAGGGCCUCGGGAAGUUGGUGCAGGACGCUGUCUGGGAAGUGCCCUGUCCAGAUGGGUCAGCAUGGGGCAGGCAGAGGAGCCCUGCACCUCCCCCCUUGACAUCCCUGCUCACUGGGCGCCAGGCCUCUGUUCCCAGUUUGCAACGUGGUGGAGGAAAGUGCUCCCAAUUGCUGCACGGGAACAGCUUCAGUUUCCAGAAGUUGUGUCUGAACUUAAAGCCCCUGUUAUUUCACGUUGGCAUCAGAGAAAUCAGGGCAUUUAAAUAAAUUAUAUUCGUUUUCCUCGCCUUGGCACCGCUGUUUGUAUUGGGGAGGGGUGUGUGCAGUUGAAGUCAACUGUAAGAAUUAAUUUUGGUCCAGAUCUUGCUACUGGAGUUUUCACUCUGAAGAGUCAAAUUGUAAACAUUAAAAAUAAAAAUUCAGACAGUUGCUUUCUAAUUAUAGAAAACUCACAGGUCUACUAAAUUAAAAAAAAAUAAUAGUAAUGCUUUAAAAGCACCGUUGGCUGCCUUCCUAGUGGCCUGGAUCCCAUGCAGUAGGCCAGCCUGUGCGUGUGUGUGUGUGUGUGUGUAGCGACUCCAGGGGCUGGCCUGUUCCAGUCGAUGCCCAACUAGAGAGCCGGCCUCCUCAAACUGUGACAUCCCUCGUAGCUUUGAUCCCUGCGCCCUUGUGGUUCCCUACCCCGAGGGCAGUGUGCUCCCUGGGGCAGAUCCUGCAGUGUGUGGAGAGGGUGCCCAGGAAGACACUGCAGCGUCUUCAGACCCCUCACAGCGGUCAGGGUGGGUGCUGUAGGUUCAAGGUUGGAACAGCAGCUGCUGCCUCCACCAUCUGGGAUAAAUACCCUUCCAGGGUGGGCGACAGCACUGGGGGUUAUUGCGGGCUCAGUCUUCAACCUUAAGGUGAGAACUGUGGCGGGACUGCCCCGCGUGUCCGGUGGGCGCAAGCCAGGCUCUCCCAGUGGCCUCGACCCAGAUGUUUCUUAGAGCUCAUCGUGGGUCUGCUAGUGUGAAGCUCACGAGCCAUUGUGCAUUGCCAAGAGCUUUAUAAAGGGUUCUUCAACAUUGGAUCCUUGCAGAGGUGGAAACACACACACACACACCAAAAAUCCAGAAAAAAAAAUAGUACAAAGAAAAAUGUGUAUUUGACUGAAUUAUGCUUUGUCUUUUUUCUUAAAUGGCAACACUCAUGAGUCUUGAGGUCUGAAAUAAAUUCAUAUUUCAUGUAAUUAAACCUAUUCACAGGAGUGCAGUAUUUAUUUUUCUAGGUUUUCAAAUAUUUCAAAUUAUUCAGUAGUGAAGGUUGCCAGUUGCCUUCCACAGAGGCUCAUGGUUGUGCUCUGCUCUGUAGAGCAGAGGGGUGGAUGGAUGGAUGGUAUCCGUGCAGUGCUAGGCUGAGGUGGGCACAGACUUCUCCCUGGAGAGGAGGACCUGGCCUUUGGUUCCGGGACUGGAUGGUCACCUUUGGGGGUAUCUCAGCACUUGCCAGCAGAAGGCUUGUUUAAAACAAUUUUCAUGUUAAGUUCUCAGCUUCCGUGUUGGAUGUAAAAAGCAGGUUGUCAAACACAACACAGAAAAAGCAGGUUGUCAAAUACAACACAAACCCAACACACUCACACACAUGAGAAAAUAAACAGUCUGUAUUGGAUAAUCCUGACCUGGCACCCUGACUACGGUCAGGACCAUUGCUUUUGCUGUACUGGGGUCUGUUUUACACACACAUCCUGGCACUGGUGGGUCUUCAUGCAGUUCUAAGGAGAGCGUGACCUUCCCAAUUAAGCUUGAUAAAGGUAACCAGAAGUGCACUCUAGAGGUGGACAGUUAAAAGGAAAGAAAAGAAAGAAAGGAAUCAUCUUUGGGGCAUUUCAGUAGUGAGCCAUUUGAUGACGUCAGGAGACGUGUCCAGGGAUGCUGCGAUAGGGCUUCCGCAGGGCGCCCUUGAGUGAGGUGCCCAGCUCUGCCUGUCUGCUAAGCAGCGGCCUUCGCCUUCCAGCACCAUCAUUACCUCUC